AAGGUUGUCUCAGUGUUUAAAAAACAAAAAAAAGCGAGGAAUGUCAAAAAUUAAAAAAAAAUGCUGCAGAAGACUGUCAUAAAGAUAGUGAUGAGGAAUCAUUUACCAUUUACUCACAGCAAUUAUUAGAAGAGUCUCAAAAAACCCCAAAAAAUACUGCAGCAUUUAAGACGUAUCUUGUUAAAACAAAAAAACUACGCCAAAAAGAUGUUAAAACUAUGCCAGCCGCAGACAUGCUUCAAAAAUAUCCUGUAUUGCAGGAUACUCAAUUUUGUCUUUGGGAAUUUGAAGAACUGGUAGAAAUGUCGAUUAGUACCAUGUUGAAAAACUUAAAACAUGCUAUACCUUAAUUAAUUUUAAUAAUAACAGAAGAUAGUGGCGAAGAAAACUUAGAACUUCUCUUUUUGAAAAAGAUUGAUUCUUUCUUCCCAUUUGAAAAAAACGAGGUCGUCAACAAAAACGUAAACUGGUAACAGUAAUCGAGGUUGACAACGAAGAAAAUGAUUCAGAGGUAUCAAAAGUUGACAGAGCUUCUUUUCUAAUUAUUUGUGGUGACUGUGAUAAAAAUGUGAGAUUAUUAGCCACUUAUUGGAUAUUCGACAUAGCUUUUGAUAAAGAUUUCCAAAAACAGUUGACACUUCUAAGCGUCAUAACUUUCGGCGAUAAUUCAGAGCGCAUUUUAGGACCUCAUGGAAUUGAGUCCAUUUAUGUCAAUAAUAUAAUAACAAAAGCUAAAUUAUAAAACACUUGUUUAUA